CUCCGGGUCACACUCUCUCAUCUCGCUUCUACUCUCAGUUCCUAUCACCUAUUCCUUUUUUCUCCGCACCAAAGGCGAUGGCCUUGUAUUUCGUUUGUAUUUCAUCUGAUUGUGGGUUCGAUUUUGGUCCAAAUUAGGAGGUGAUGUGGCGUCGUCAUGUAUCUGGUCACAACUUAGCAUUUCGCAACACUACCGAAGUCAUUAUUUUCCGGUAAACCUCCGCUAAAAAGCACCUACAUUCAAACGUAUCUUUUUAACCCAGAAAAAGCGUUCAGAGUGAAUUUUCAAAGUUACAGAUUCUCCCCAAGAGUGGCAAUACGGCUUCAGGGAUCCGGAACCAGAUUCCUAAUUAAUUUAACUAGAGUGGAGGCACUCAAGGUGAGCUCAGAACGAAUCUUCAAGUCACAACACUAGCCUUGAGAUUAUGCAACCCGACGGCAUUGCUGACGCGUACAAAAAGCUUGCCUCAGCUAUUGAAGGAGCAACAUAGCGGAGUGGGAAUGAAAACUGACUAUCGAUGUUGUCUGAGAGGAUCUCCGAUUUUGUGGACCUAAUUGCAUUAUACCGAGGUGGGAAGUAAGAUUGCAUUCACUAAUGGAUUACUAUUAGAACUAGAGU